AGGAAGGAGGGAGGGGGAGACAUGCUCUUGGUUAAAAACAAGGCUGCUGGAGAUAGUACACCUACCAAGGCAGCCACAGUCAGUGAAGAAGCACCUGAGCAAAGGCUCUUUCUUUGAGGAGUCUAGUGAAAAACAGGCCUCUCCAUAUCACAAGCUCCCCAGAUGUUGGCAUCCCAGGUCCCCAGAGUGGAAAAAUCUGCAAGGAAGAACAACAGUGGAAGAGGAGUCAAAAUCAGAAGGCAGUGUCCAAGCCCGGUCCUGGAAAGAAGUGGGAACGGAAUGAGCCAGCAGAGACUCCUCAAGCUAAGGAAGUUGAGCUCCAGACUCCCUACAAGUCUCUACAAAGGAAGAAAGGACAAAAGUGGGCACCUUGCCCAUUCUUAUUAAUCAGGGAAGAGGAAAUGGAGGCUACACAAAUGGCAGACAGCUCCUUUGAACGGGUUACUCUGACUGUCCCAGAACUUUUCCUGUAGACCAGGUAUAAGAAGACAUGUGGAUGCUGCAGUCUUCUCAGCUUUUUAAUUUGCUUGCUAAGAUGGAGUGGCAAUUUCCCAGAGUCUGUAAACUGAAGUCCUCAGAUAAAUAAAGAGAGCUAUACCUGUG